UACGAAGGGGGCUAGCGUUGCUCGGAUUGACUGGGCGUAAAGGGCGCGUAGGCGGUUCGUACAGUCAGACGUGAAAUCCCCGGGCUCAACCUGGGAAUGGCAUUGGAUACUGGCUCGCUAGAGUGCGGUAGAGGGUGGUGGAAUUCCCGGUGUAGCAGUGAAAUGCGUAGAGAUCGGGAGGAACAUCUGUGGCGAAGGCGGCCACCUGGACCAGCACUGACACUGAGGCACGAAAGCGUGGGGAGCAAACAGG
rnacentral:rRNA from 1 species